CUACGGGAUGCUGCAGUGGGGAAUAUUGGACAAUGGGGGAAACCCUGAUCCAGCCAUGCCGCGUGUGUGAAGAAGGCCCGAGGGUUGUAAAGCACUUUCAGUUGGGAAGAAGGGUAAUAAGCUAAUACCUUAUUAUCUUGACAUUACCUUCAGAAGAAGCACCGGCUAACUCUGUGCCAGCAGCCGCGGUAAUACAGAGUGUGCAAGCGUUAUUCGGAAUUACUGGGCGUAAAGCGCGCGUAGGCGGACUGUUAAGUCGGUUGUGAAAGCCCUGGGCUCAACCUAGGAAUUGCAUCCGAUACUGGCAAUCUAGAGUUUAAGAGAGGGAAGGGGAAUUCCAGGUGUAGCAGUGAAAUGCGUAGAUAUCUGGAGGAACAUCAGUGGCGAAGGCGCCUUCCUGGCUUAAAACUGACGCUGAGGUGCGAAAGCGUGGGUAGCGAACAGGAUUAGAUACCCUCGUAGUC
rnacentral:rRNA from 1 species